AUACGGAGGGUGCAAGCGUUAUCCGGAUUUAUUGGGUUUAAAGGGUCCGUAGGCGGACUAAUAAGUCAGGGGUGAAAUCCCACAGCUUAACUGUGGAACUGCCUUUGAUACUGUUAGUCUUGAGUUAUAUGGAAGUAGAUAGAAUGUGUAGUGUAGCGGUGAAAUGCUUAGAGAUUACACAGAAUACCGAUUGCGAAGGCAGUCUACUACAUAUAUACUGACGCUAAUGGACGAAAGCGUGGGGAGCGAACAGGAUUAGAAACCCUAGUAGUCC
rnacentral:rRNA from 1 species